UGGGGAAUAUUGGACAAUGGGCGCAAGCCUGAUCCAGCCAUGCCGCGUGAGUGACGAAGGCCUUAGGGUUGUAAAGCUCUUUUGGCGGGGAAGAUAAUGACGGUACCCGCAGAAUAAGCUCCGGCUAACUUCGUGCCAGCAGCCGCGGUAAUACGAAGGGAGCUAGCGUUGUUCGGAAUCACUGGGCGUAAAGCGCACGUAGGCGGAUGUGUCAGUCAGGGGUGAAAUCCCGGGGCUCAACCUCGGAACUGCCUUUGAUACAGCACGUCUUGAGUCCGGAAGAGGUGGGUGGAAUUCCUAGUGUAGAGGUGAAAUUCGUAGAUAUUAGGAAGAACACCGGUGGCGAAGGCGGCCCACUGGUCCGGUACUGACGCUGAGGUGCGAAAGCGUGGGGAGCAAACAGGAUUAGAUACCCCUGUAGUCC
rnacentral:rRNA from 1 species